UAGAGUAUUUUUAAUUUCAGUAAUUAUGUUGUUUGUCUCUGCAUGUUUAUUCUGUAAUUCUUCUAGAUGGUCUUUCAAGUCUUCAUACAAAUGUUCCACUUCAGCUACUUCAGCAUAACUGGUCAGGACACAGACUUGGUUUACUGUGCUGUUGAAUGGUUUGUCUUGGAAAUGAAGAGAGAUCCUUCUUCUUCUUACACAUCUUGUGAUCUGUCAGCUUCAUCUCUUCAUCAACUGUGGAAGAAC
rnacentral:sRNA from 1 species